AGGAAAGCUGAUCCAUCUGAAAAUGGACAAUAACACAGUCACAUGUUUUGGAAAGACUGUUUUAUAAUGAAGGCUGGAUGGUUCCAGAUAAAAGGAUUUUGACAUUUAAGUGCACUGGCUGGCAUUAUCGUUUCAGGAAACAUAUGCACAGAGGAAGAGGCGGAAAACCACCAUGAACACAGAUCCAGAAGAAAUCAAGAGAUGUAUUUGUUGGCAACUGUUAUCUGUGAUCAUGUGACUAAAACCAACUGAAAACCACAUUCAGUACUACAGCAGCUCCUCCAUUGAAAUGAUAGCUUUUUUGUUUUCUUCUCUUCUGAAUAAA